AUUGAACGCUGGCGGCAUGCCUUACACAUGCAAGUCGAACGGCAGCACGGACUUCGGUCUGGUGGCGAGUGGCGAACGGGUGAGUAAUGUAUCGGAACGUACCUUUCAGUGGGGGAUAACGUAGCGAAAGUUACGCUAAUACCGCAUAUUCUGUGAGCAGGAAAGCAGGGGAUCGAAAGACCUUGCGCUGAUUGAGCGGCCGAUAUCAGAUUAGCUAGUUGGUGGGGUAAAGGCCUACCAAGGCGACGAUCUGUAGCGGGUCUGAGAGGAUGAUCCGCCACACUGGAACUGAGACACGGUCCAGACUCCUACGGGAGGCAGCAGUGGGGAAUUUUGGACAAUGGGGGCAACCCUGAUCCAGCCAUGCCGCGUGAGUGAAGAAGGCCUUCGGGUUGUAAAGCUCUUUCGGCCGGGAAGAAAUCGCAUAGGCUAAUACCCUGUGUGGAUGACGGUACCGGAAUAAGAAGCACCGGCUGACUACGUG
rnacentral:rRNA from 1 species